CCUACGGGAGGCAGCAGUGGGGAAUAUUGCUCAAUGGGGGAAACCCUGAUGCAGCGAUGCCGCGUGAGUGAAGAAGUAAUUCGUUAUGUAAAGCUCUAUCAGCAGGGAAGAAAAGGACGGUACCUGAGUAAGUAGCCCAGGAUAACUACGUGCAAGCAGGUGAGGUACUACGUAGGGGGCAAGAGUUAUCCGGAUUUACUGGGGGUAAAGGGAGCGUAGAUGGUAGUGCAAGUCUGGAGUGAAAGGCGGAGGCUCAACCCCCGGACUGCUCUGGAAACUGUACGGCUGGAGAGCAGGAGAGGGAAGUGGAAUUCCUAGUGUAGCGGUGAAAUGCGUAGAUAUUAGGAAGAACACCAGUGGCGAAGGCGGCUUACUGGACUGUAACUGACGUUGAGGCUCGAAAGCGUGGGGAGCAAACAGGAUUAGAUACCCGAGUAGUC
rnacentral:rRNA from 1 species